rnacentral:siRNA from 1 species
UAGAUGAUUUAUGGGCUUCCAACU